rnacentral:rRNA from 1 species
AGCGAACGCUGGCGGCAGGCCUAAUACAUGCAAGUCGAGCGCACCUUCGGGUGAGCGGCGGACGGGUGAGUAACGCGUGGGAACGUGCCCUUUGGUACGGGAUAACUGAGGGAAACUUCAGCUAAUACCGUAUGUGCCCUACGGGGGAAAGAUUUAUCGCCAUUGGAGCGGCCCGCGUUGGAUUAGCUAGUUGGUGAGGUAAAGGCUCACCAAGGCUACGAUCCAUAGCUGGUCUGAGAGGAUGAUCAGCCACACUGGGACUGAGACACGGCCCAGACUCCUACGGGAGGCAGCAGUAGGGAAUCUUGCGCAAUGGGCGAAAGCCUGACGCAGCCAUGCCGCGUGAAUGAUGAAGGUCUUAGGAUUGUAAAAUUCUUUCACCGGGGAAGAUAAUGACGGUACCCGGAGAAGAAGCCCCGGCUAACUUCGUGCCAGCAGCCGCCGCCGUAA